CCUGCCUCUCUUUUGAGGGCAUGUUUUUCAGUUCUUCAUGGGGAAAUUUUUCUAAAUUUUAGUCUCAAGAAGGGUUUUCCUAAGUAGCUAUAUGAAGACUGGGUUUUCAGUCUGAUGUACUCUCUAUAUUCUGUCUAACCUUGACCAGUCUUCCCAGCUCAUCUUAUUAAAAAUGAGUGUGCACAUUUUAUCUCAAGCACACUAGAAACAGCUUCUAUUUGAGUUUACAAAUUAGACACCUCAUACAUAGAAGGCCAUAGAAAUAACUAUUCUGGGUAAACUUCAUUUUAUAUGAGAAAUCUUGGGGUGGAUGAUUGUUUAAAAACCAUUGCACAAAUAACCUGAAUUAAGGGGAUGUCAGGAAGAUAACACUCCUCCAAAGAUAUUUAUGUCUUGUUCCCAGAAAAUGUCACUGUUAUCUACAGUUGCAGUUAUGACAAAUUAAGGACCAUGAGAUGGGGAGAUUAUCCAAGUGAGCCCAAUGUAAUUACAAAGGUUCUUAUAAAUAGUCAGAAGACUCAGUAUCAGAAUCAGAAAUUUGUAGAUGCUUCUGGCUUGAUUGGAGAAAGUGUUCACAAACCAAGGAAUGCAAAUGGCCUCUAAAAUUGGAAAUUAUAAGGAAAGUGAUUUUCCCUGAUAGGUCUCCAGAAAGGAAUGCAGCCCUGCCAAUACCUUAACUUUAACUCAUUGAAACCAGUUAGACUUUUGAUAUCCAGAAAUGUAAAAU
rnacentral:lncRNA from 1 species